UACGUAGGGGGCAAGCGUUGUCCGGAAUUAUUGGGCGUAAAGAGCGUGUAGGCGGUCCGGUAAGUCAGCUGUGAAAGUCAAGGGCUCAACCCUUGAAUGCCGGUUGAUACUGUCGGGCUAGAGUCCGGAAGAGGCGAGUGGAAUUCCCGGUGUAGCGGUGAAAUGCGCAGAUAUCGGGAGGAACACCAAUGGCGAAGGCAGCUCGCUGGGACGGUACUGACACUGAGGCGCGAAAGCGUGGGGAGCGAACAGG
rnacentral:rRNA from 1 species